UUGCCUAGGGCCAGUAUUACCCCUAGGCAACUUCUGUGACAUGUGACA
rnacentral:sRNA from 12 species